rnacentral:rRNA from 1 species
UACAGAGGUCUCAAGCGUUGUUCGGAUCAUUGGGCGUAAAGGGUGCGUAGGUGGCGCCGUAAGUCGGGUGUGAAAUUUCGGAGCUUAACUCCGAAACUGCAUUCGAUACUGCGGUGCUUGAGGACUGGAGAGGAGACUGGAAUUCAUGGUGUAGCAGUGAAAUGCGUAGAGAUCAUGAGGAAGACCAGUGGCGAAGGCGGGUCUCUGGACAGUUCCUGACACUGAGGCACGAAGGCCAGGGGAGCAAACAGG